CAGCUCACUUUGGAAACUCAGAUUACAGCUGCUGCAAUCUUCAGGCUGAGUUCCAGGAAAAGGCACAGCCAAAGGCGAGCCCGCCUUUUUGUUGGCCAGGGAAGCAAAGCUCUGCAACGCCAGGCUGCAGUCAGCAGCUCCCCACUGUCCAAACACAUGCUCCCUGAGCCACGCUGCCCGAGCCACUGCAGAGCCUGCUGCUUGGUACCAAAUACACCCGUCGCUUUGAACGUUCCCAGCAAGUCCAUGGUAUGCGCAAAGCUCUCCUCCAACACCACAUUUCAAAUGAGUUGAUUUAAACUGUAGGCUAUAACAAUUAUAAUAGGAUAAAGGUAGCACGGCGGUUUCCAAAUAAAAGACAUGAGAAAUAGCAAGGAUGUUUGAGAAGGGGAACAUCGUUAGAGGCUACAGAGAAUGUUAGCCAUGCACGGUACAGACUUCCCUGAACAAUGGAGCUUUUGGAAGACAUUGCAUGAUUUCCCAUAUAUGUUUGCAAUCAUGAGAGCUAGAAACUUGCUUUGAUUAAUGAAAGCUGGGUCUGAGAUGCUAAGGCUGCAAUCCUAUUUACAAAGGCUAAGAUUGCCAAUAUUCCAUGCAAGAUGCCAGACUGGGUGAUACCCAAUCACAAAAGAGGACCAAUGGUUCCAACCAUGUCUCACAGAGCUCAUAAUCAACAACAGCCAGUGUGAUGUAAUGGUUAGAGUGACGUGGACCUGGGAGAUCAGUAUUCAAAUUCCCCCUCAACUGGGAAAGCCCACUGAGUGACCUUAGGCCAGCCACUGUCUGUCAGCCUAAUCUACCUCACCGGAUUGUUGUGAGAAUAAAAUAGGGAGGGGAGAACUAUGUACACCACCUUGGGGUCCUUGGAGGAAAGGUGGCAUAUAAAUGUGAUAAAUAAAUGAUAAACACUUUAAUCUAAGUGAAGAGGCAAUUACUAGUGAGAUAAUAGCUGUUUAAUCUGUGACAAACACUCCUGAGGCUACAUGAGAAAGAUUUAGAAACAUACAUUGAGUUCCUGAUGCAUCACUGUAUAUUGACUCAGCUCUACAUAAUUCUAUAAACUCUUUCAUCAGCUGGUAUAGCAGGGGAAUGUUUGCUCCAGUCACUUUGGGCCUCCCCUAAGCCCUGCUAUCAGAAAGGGAGGUUGCAGAAUUCGCUUGCUUGGACCAAUCCUCCUCCUGCUUGCUACUCACACUCACAGGGGCUUUCCUUGCAUCCCUGAGGAGCACAUAAAACAUUACAUAUGCCCAAAUUACAGGAAUGCAUGCUGACCACAGUUCAGGGGAAUUUAAGGCUGUGAGCACACUAGUUGCCUAUCUCAAAGCAUUUCCAUUGGCCACACCUGGAUGCGGAAUAGAUUUAUCAGCCAAUCAGUUGUGAAAUCGCUUUGAAAAGAAUUUUUAAAAAAUGCAUUCAAGCUGAUCCCACCAGGUUUCAUAGGGACAGGGGGCAGGGUUCAACUAGCAUCCUGUGUCCCUGUUUUUAGAAAAGAGAGGCGGAGUCACACUGGAACCAGCACAAGCUUUUAAUUUUUAAUUUCUAAUUUUUAGGAUUCUGAUUAUGUUUAUAUGGAAUAUACUUGUGUUUGGUUGUAAGUCGCCCAGAGUGGCAGAUCAACCUCUGCCAGAUGGGCGUCUAACAAAUCUCAUAAAUAAAUAAACAAACAAACAAACAAACAAACAAAUAAAUAAAUAAAUAGUGUCUCUACCCUAAAUCUGCAAAACCUCAGGACAUAGGUUUUGCAAAAUUCUGUGAAUAUGUUUGAAGAGAGGUUGCUGCAAUAUACACAAGUUUGCCAGGGUGAUAAUACAGAGACACUAAUACGAAAAUUGACCCAGAGAGUCUGAUGUAGUAGACAGCAUUAGAUCCAUUCCUACUGACUAUUUAUUCAAGGCUCAGUCAUGCAAACAAAAACUUCCUUUUGUAAAGAAAAAUGCUUUAUGUCCUAAAUGCUUUUAGUCCUGAACCAGUGAUUUGUGAAGCUUUGCAAUUCCAAAAGUAAUUUAUUUUGUGUGUGAAAGAGAGAGAUAGAGAGAUCCCAGGGUAACUAGUACUUCACUGUGUUUGUUUUUGUUUUUAGGGAUUAUACCUGUUUUUCCCUGUGUAUUUUGUGUGAAUACCCUCUAGAAACUAUCCUCAGUUAAUUUUCCCUUCUAUGGCUAUUACAAAAACAGAACCUGAUUUGAAGUGUAUCAGAUAGGCAUGCCUAUUCU